GCCCGGCUGGCUCUGUGGGUAGAGUGUGCAACUCUGGAUUUCAGGGUUGUGAGUUCAAGCCCCACACUGGGUG
rnacentral:tRNA from 1 species